GGCGGUUCUCGGAUGACACACCCCAGAACCGGGCUCCCUCCUCUCUGGUUCCGGGUCCAUCACCAGAGAACCACU
rfam:Myotis davidii contig98303, whole genome shotgun sequence.